rnacentral:tRNA from 1 species
AAAGGGAGACCUAAUUCCGGUAGGAGACGAAAAAAAAGUAGUCCCAACCAAGAAUCAAUCCCAAAAGGUCGGAGCGAGGCGAAAUUGGCUUUCAAACUAGGUUCUGGGUUCACACAAGACCUGAAUCAGGAACAAGGGCUAUUAGCUCAGGUGGUUAGAGCGCACCCCUGAUAAGGGUGAGGUCCCUGGUUCGAGUCCAGGAUGGCCCACCUGCACAGGUGGCAAAAACAAGAGAAGCGAGGAAUCAGCACCCUAUCUUACUUAUAUAGUAAGAGAGAAUGCUGGCUCUGAGUAAAGAGUCCAGAGGAACCUUGAAAACUGCAUAGAGCUAGGUGAAAAAGCCAAAAAAGAAGACCGCAAG